UUCUUUAAUGGAUAUUUUAAGCAGUUAUAGCUGGACUUGAACCAAAGGUGAGUUCCCCAUUCUGCUUAUUCAUUGUUUACAGACAUAAAUACACUCCUAGACAAAGAGAAUAUACCUGCUAAUUCAUCUGAACUGUGACACUGGUGAGGUGCCCUCGCCGCGGUAUGUGGAAUGUCACACCUGAUUCAGACGCACCCAAUACCUGACAUCAACCUGUCACUCACGAUCACUAUUUGUAAACUGAGUUUACAUGUUUAAUGGAACAAUUUGCUUGUGGCAGUUGCUGACUUUUGAAAGAAUGGGGAAGUUUACCACAUUUAUGAUGAGUUUGGAAGAGGGCCACGUAUACCUAAAACAGUAAGAACAGGGAUGAGAAGAGCCACAGAGAUCACACACAGAGGUGAAGGCACAGUGAAAGGUCACAAAGUUCCAUAAGUUCCUACCAUGCCCUAAGAUAAGAUGUUUUGAAGAAUAUUGGAGUCCAAAACAUCACUGGACCCAACUGACUUUUGGUGUACGGACAAAGAAACGCUGACACAACAGAAUAUCUUCUUCUGUGUUCCACAGAAGAAAGAAACUCAUACAGGUUUGGAAGAAC